UAUAGAGAUAAAGUUCUCUCUUUCUUUUUCUCCACCUCAGUAAGCGGCGCGUCUCGCCGGUAACUAGUGGCGCUUCCCUCUAAUCACUGGUUACUAGCGAGCUCGUAUAUUAUGAAGUUACUCAGGUGAGCCCCGAUCAAUUAAUCUCCCUCGAUUCUGCAUCAACAAAAGGGGGUGUUUCUUCUGUUGUUUCGUACAAAGCACAAGUAUUCAUCUCUGAUCUCAGCUGAAGCUCGGUAUUUAACGCGUUUCUUGCAUCUUGGUAGUGGUUUUGUGGGUGAUUAUGAUGAAAAGUGAUGGAAAAUAAGUAGAAUCAAGCCAAAACAGGGCUUGUGCGAUCGAGUGAUGGUUUGUGCGCCCGAACAGAGGAGUGCAAAUGGGCACAAGGAAUAUCUAGUUCUGUGCGGUCGAACGUGCUCUGUUGUUCGGUCGCACAGGAUGGGUUUUUGGAGGCAGAAUGUCUAAAAGUUGGAAAGCGACCGCACAAGUCUACUACUCGGCAGCACAGGUUUUGUGCGAUCGAACGUGCUUUGUGGUUCGGUUGCACAUGAUUAAUUUUUGGAGGCAGAAUGUCUCUAAUUUGGGAUGCGACCGCACAAGGUUAUCUACUCGACCGCACAAGAGUUGUGCGCCCACACAAGGCCUUUCGUUCGAGCGAAUCAUGCUGUAGAGGAAUUAUGAGCCAAAGAAACCCCGUUCGACCGAACAUGGUUCUUCAUUCCGUCGCGCAUGACGAAGGAAGUGUUCUUCGCUGCCUUCGCUCGCACAGGUCCCAGUGUUUGCUCGAACGGUUCUUAUACGUUCGGUCGCACAAAGGGUCUGUGCGACCGAAUGGCUCCGUGGGCUGCUCUUAUUCGAAUUUUGGCUUCUAUUUGGGGAAACUUAUAAAUAGAUUUUUCGAUUAUUUUGUUAUGUGUAGAAUUUUAGUUGACAAUUUUAGAUUCUCAAAGUUAGUUUUUCAGCAUUUCUAGAGAGAGAAACUCUCCCCCAUUGAAGCAUCAAUUUGUAAUUCUCUAAACUCUUCUUCUAAUUUUGUGCAAUUCAAUUCAAUUUCUUAA